AAUACUUAAGGAGACACUUCCUGAUCCAAGAACAUCUAAUCCUCAGAAAUCCCGUGCUGGAAGAAAAAGAAGCACUGAAAGGAAAAAGAUAUCAAAAUGUCUUGCAGAAGAAGCUAUGGCAUAUUUCGAUGAAUGCGUGUCAAUAUCAACCUUUGAUAGUUCAGAUUUUUCUGCAUCUGAAGAUCCAUCUCAUAUCUCUGCUGGAUCCUCGACUGCAGUUCAUGACAUUGUGCCUGUACUUCAAGGAAGUUUGAGCGUCAAUCUACCUCUUCAUGCACAUGAUAGUUUCUCGAAGGAAAAACAGACACUGGGGGGCAUGGUCAGCUGAUGCAAAGCCGUGAGGAUUCUAAUUUAACUGCACAUAGUAGUAGCAAUGCGCUCACCGUGGACCAAGUAGAUAAAAGGAGCAAAAGCAGAGGAAGCAGUGAACCUUAUCGGUUUUCGUUUGCUCAAAAACCAAAAGAAAACACGGGACCUCAAACAACAUCACGAAUUAUGUAAAGCAUUUUGAAAGAGGCCUUGGUACAAAGGCAGCAGGCUCAGAUUAUACAAGAACGGUCUAUGAUACUGGUGAGUUUGAUUUACAUGGUUGUCUUGAAAGCUUCUUGUUCGAAAGGGUGUUUUUCAGGAAAAGAGUAGAAUCUGGAAGCCUGCAUUUAUGUGGUGGAAGUGGUUCAGUCACCUUUUCUUCUUUUGGUUCUGUCCCGUGAAUCUUGGAAGCUGGGAAACUCAAUUUUAAGCGGCCAUGGGCCUGCUUGGCUUGCGGCUGACAAAUUCAUUUUGGGGUUCCCUCAGUGGCAGUUCUUGACUUCGGAAAAGUUGAUGAGGAGU